rnacentral:rRNA from 1 species
GAGUUGCGAACGGGUGAGUAACGCGUAGGUAACCUGCCUGGUAGCGGGGGAUAACUAUUGGAAACGAUAGCUAAUACCGCAUAACAGUCGACAUUGCAUGAUGUUGAUUUGAAAGGGGCAAUUGCUCCACUACCAGAUGGACCUGCGUUGUAUUAGCUAGUUGGUGAGGUAACGGCUCACCAAGGCAACGAUACAUAGCCGACCUGAGAGGGUGAUCGGCCACACUGGGACUGAGACACGGCCCAGACUCC